rnacentral:rRNA from 1 species
UACAGAGGUCUCAAGCGUUGUUCGGAUUCAUUGGGCGUAAAGGGUGCGUAGGCGGCGCGGUAAGUCGGGUGUGAAAUCUCGGAGCUUAACUCCGAAACUGCAUUCGAUACUGCCGUGCUUGAGGACUGGAGAGGAGACUGGAAUUUACGGUGUAAGCGGUGAAAUGCGUAGAUAAUCGUGAAGGAAGACCAGUGGCGAAGGCGGGUCUCUGGACAGUUCCUGACGCUGAGGCACGAAGGCCAGGGGAGCAAACGGG